GCGAUCGUACCAACACUAAUGCACCAGAUCCCAUCAAAACUCCGAAGUUAAGCGUGCAUUGCGAGAGCAGUACUAGGAUAGGUGACCCCCUGGGAAGUCCUCGUGUUGCACCU
rnacentral:rRNA from 1 species